AUGAAUCUGGCCGCCGUGGCUUCGACGCCGCAAAACACGGCGUCGACGCAUAAGUCGUCCAUUUUCAGAGCGACGCACCACUUCCACAUCGUGGGCUACAGAGUGCCGAGGAUCAACAGCCGUAUCAAGUCCGGCGACUUUCUUGCCGGCGGCCACACAUGGGCCCUCCUCUGCGACUUCGGUGAGAAAGGAGACGAUCACCUCUCGUCAAUCACCCUCGAGCUCGUCGCCACCGGCAACAGCAAGGGAGACGUCGUCGUCGCCAUGGCCAGCCUCCGCAUGGACGACCCGCGCGGCCGGUGGCCGGCUGCCGUGUGGCGGAGCGACGGCCACAACGCCUUCUCCAAAACCGGCAAGAGCUGGAAGCUAACGCUCCCAGAUUUAUUCCGUGGCCAUGAGGCGCUAUAUGUGGAGGACGACUGCCUCACCAUUCUCUGCACCGUCGACGUGCUCGACGAGAAACCGGUUGCCAAAACGGAGAGCACGAAACGCUUAGUCGUCGCGGUGCCAUCAUCGCCGACCAUCUCCCAGGAUCUCGAAAAACUUAUGCUACCGGACGCGUCCAGCGGCGUACCGCCGGACGUGACGUUCUUGGUGGAGCAGACCGAGAUCAAGGCGCACAAGCUCGUGCUCGCCAUGUGUUCGUCCGUCUUCGCCGCGGAGUUCAGGUGGCACAGUUCGGCUUCCACCGCGGGAGCGCGCGCCAUCAGGAUCGAUGACAUGAGCGUCUCCACCUUCAGGGCCAUGGUCCGCUUCAUCUACACCGAAGAGCUGCCCAUCAGACCAAGCAAAAACGUGGGACGGCGCCCCUCCAAGGCGAGGCCUGUGAAGCCAUGGCACGCGACCUGCUCGUGGCAGCCGACCGGUACGACCUGGAAAGGCUGA
rnacentral:rRNA from 1 species